rnacentral:rRNA from 1 species
GAUGAACGCUGGCGGCGUGCCUAAUACAUGCCAGUCGAACGGACAGACGAGGAGCUUGCUGCUCUGAUGUUAGCGGCAGACGGGUGAGUAACACGUGGAUAACCUACCUAUAAUACUGGGAUAACUUCGGAAAACCGGAGCUAAUCCCGGAUAAUAUUUUGAACCACAUUGUGCAAAAGAAAAAGACGGUCUUUCUGUCACGUCUAGAUGGAUCCCCGCUGUAUUAGCUAGUUGUGGAGGUAACGGCUUACCACGGCAACGAGUCAUAGACGACCUACGAGGCUGAUAGGCCACAUUGGAACUGAGCCACGGACAAGAGGACUAAGGGAGGCAGCAGUAGGGAACCGUCCGCAAUGGGCGAAAGCAUGACGGAGCAACGCCGCGUGAGUGACGACGGUCCUCGGAUCGUAAAAAUCUGUUAUUAGGGAAGAACAUAUGUGUACGUAGCUGUGCACAUCUUGACGGUACUUAAUCAGAAAGCACCGGCUAACUACGUG